GGGCCGGUUCACAGUGUGUGUGUGUGUGUGUGUGUGUGUGUGUGUGUGUGUGUGUACCAGUUCCCAGGGAGGUGUAGUAGAGGAUUAGGUUAGGGAUCCAACCUAAGAGGGACCUUGGCGGUGUUCAGCACAGCUCCCUUCUAUACUGAGGAGCAAAGUGACUUGUUUAAGGCAAGGAAGCUGAAUAGAAAAACAACUUUCCUAAGCUCAAAGAAUGAAUGGCAAAGCCAGCAACCAUUGACUCAUCGAUGCUUGAGGCUGACUCUCAACCUGAGCCCUUCUCCACCAGACCCCAAGUGUCCAAGUAUCAGAGGCAGGCUCACUAACCUGUCAUGGGGCUCAAAUAGCCCCUGUUUCAUGGAUCACGCUGUCUACCUUCCUGGAGAGCUUGCUUUGGAUAAAUGUCUCUCCACUUCCCAAACUAGGAAGGAUGGAAAGGUAUUUACACUUUCAGUAACCUGCGUAUGGAUCCCACUGCUAUUUAAUUAAGACUUAAACCUAUAAAGAUGCACAUUUAAUACUCAGAGUAAACCCUUGACUUGUUCCCUUUGAAGAUAAACAGAGAGCGAGAGUGAGUGAGGGAGGGGCAAAGGGAGAGGAAGAGAGAAUCUCAAGCAGGAUCCAUACCCGGUGCAAAGCCUGAUGCAGGGCUCAAUCCCAGGACCCCAGGAUCACGACUUGAGCCAAAAUCGAGAGUAGGAUGCUCAACCGACUGAACCACCCAGACAGGCACUCUGCCUCCUGCCUUCUAGGUUAGAGGAAAAAAAGAUCCUUCGGCUGCUAAGGUGAAGAUAGCAUUUAGGAUGCAGAAAUGGGACUUGGAAGUACUCCUGAUUCCUUUUAGGGAAGAAAAGGUCCAUCUCGGCUUACCUCAUUGCUAAGAAGAAUAAUAAGCAUUUGUUCAGCGAUAAUAAUGUGUGAGGUGCCUGAAAGAGCCCUGAAUCAGGCUAAAUAAUUUCUUCCUUCCUUUAGAAAAUAAAAAACAGCUUGCCCGA